UACGGGGGGGGGCAAGCGUUGUUCGGAAUUACUGGGCGUAAAGGGCGCGUAGGCGGUCAGACCAAGUCGAGUGUGAAAUUCCAGGGCUUAACUCUGGCACGCUCGCUCGAUACUGGUCGGCUAGAGUGUGGAAGAGGAUGCUGGAAUUCCCCGGUGUAGCGGUGAAAUGCGUAGAUAUCGGGAGGAACACCAGUGGCGAAGGCGGGCAUCUGGGCCAACACUGACGCUGAGGCGCGAAAGCUAGGGGAGCAAACAGG
rnacentral:rRNA from 1 species